rnacentral:lncRNA from 1 species
GCUGCCCCAUGCAUGACCGGUGAUGCUUGUCCUGGGUUGUCUGAAGUUUCGCACUUAAGUAUCUCUGGUGAGAUUCCCCACGGACAGCUUUACGCAGCACACUAGGGGGUGGGCUUCUUGAAGAUCCAUUACCAUGGCUUACUCGCAGAGUCCUUUCAGACGAUUGGCCCUGAGCUAACAUCUGUUGCCAAUCUUCCUCUUUUUGCUUGAAGAAGAUUGUUGCUGAGCUAACAUCUGUGCCAAUCUUGCUCUGCUUUAGUGGGAUGCCGCUGCAGUGUGGCCUGAUGAGAGCUGAUAGAUCCCACCUGAGAUCAGAACCUGCAAACCUUGGGUGACCGAAGCAGAGCACAUGAACUUAACCACUG